GCCUUAUACAUGCAAGUCGAACGCAGUAGCAAUACUGAGUGGCAAACGGGUGAGUAUAAUGUGGGUAUCUGCCUUUUGGUUUGGAAUAACAUGAGGAAACUUGUGCUAAUACCGGAUAAGCCUUCACAGGGAAAGUUUUAUACGCCAAAAGAUGAGCCCGCACUUGAUUAGUUUGUUGGUGAGGUAAUGGCUCACCAAGACAAUUAUCAAUAGCUGGUCUGAGAGGACGAUCAGCCACAUUGGGACUGAGACACGGCCCAGACUCCUACGGGAGGCAGCAGUAAGGAAUCUUGCACAAUGGGGGAAACCCUGAUGCAGCGAUGCCGCGUGAGUGAAGAAGGCCCUUGGGUUGUAAAACUCUUUCGUCGGG
rnacentral:rRNA from 1 species